GGAGCUGCUGCCAGUGUCUGGAGGGGCAGGGGAAGGAGCCCCAGCCCAUCCUCUCCUGGGGAUUGUCUCUGCUGCCUGUGCUCAGCAUGGAACAAACACUGCACACGUGUUAAUAUUUAAAGGAGCUGUGCCAGUUAACGUUUCCAGCAGAGCUGCAGAGGGCUGAGGGCAGUGUCAGGGUGACACACGGUGCUGGCAGGCAGGGGCCUGAGACAGUGAGGUGUCCUUGGUUGCCAGGCCUGGAGGGAAUUGUUGUGUCUGCCCCAAAUGGGGGAGCAGCAGCUCACGCUGGGUGGAAGAGUCCCUGGGAAGGAAGGCUGCGUUCCCUGCUUUGCUUUUCCUGCAGCCCCAAGAUGAUGAUGCUUAAUGGGCACAUUUAGGGAGUGCUCGAAUCACAGCCCGCGCCUCGCUGGGCUUUUCUCAUGGAAAGAAAAGUUGUCAUGGAAACGGAGCAGCCGAGCUUUGAUCCCGCUGAAGGACCCGCGAGGAUGGGAGCAGAGGGGCCCUGCCGGGUCAGGGAGACCUGGCCAGAACCCCAGGGCAGCAGCAUCCCUGCUGGGAACAGAGGGGAGGGAAUGGGAGCUGAGAGGAGCAGCACCAUCCAUUCUCAACUCCUGCAUCAUCCACUCACAGAUCCUGCAUCAUCCACUCACAAUUCCAUCACUGUCCACUCCCAAUUCCUGCAUCAUCCACUCACAGCUCCUGCAUCAUUCGCUUCUGACUCCUGCAUCAUCCACCCAAAUUCCAUCAUCAUCCGCUCACAGCUCCUGCAUCAUCCACUCACAAUUCCUGCAUCAUCCACCCAAAUUCCAUCAUCAUCCACUCACAACUCCUGCAUCAUCCACUCACAAUUCCUGUAGCAUCCACU